CCUACGGGAGGCAGCAGUGAGGAAUAUUGGUCAAUGGGCGCGAGCCUGAACCAGCCAAGUAGCGUGAAGGAUGACUGCCCUACGGGUUGUAAACUCUUUUUAUAAAGGAAUAAAGUGAGGCACGUGUGCCUUUUUGUACGUACUUUAUGAAUAAGGAUCGGCUAACUCCGCGCCCGCAGCCGCGGUAAUACGGAGGAUCCGAGCGUUACCCGGAUUUAAUGGGUUUAAAGGGAGCGUAGAUGGGUUGGUAAGUCAGUUGUGAAAGUUUGCGGCUCAACCGUAAAAUUGCAAUUGAUACUGGCAGUCUUGAGUGCAGUUGAGGUAGGCGGAAUUCGUGGUGUAGCGGUGAAAUGCUUAGAUAUCACGAAGAACUCCGAUGGCGAAGGCAGCUUACUAAGCUGCCACUGACAUUGAUGCUCGAAAGUGUGGGUAGCAAACAGGAUUAGAUACCCGAGUAGUC
rnacentral:rRNA from 1 species